rnacentral:rRNA from 1 species
UACGGAGGGUGCGAGCGUUGUCCGGAAUUACUGGGCGUAAAGGGCUCGUAGGUGGCCAACUAAGUCAGACGUGAAAUCCCUCGGCUCAACCGGGGGAACUGCGUCUGAUACUGGAUGGCUUGAGUUCGGGAGAGGGAUGCGGAAUUCCAGGUGUAGCGGUGAAAUGCGUAGAUAUCUGGAGGAACACCGGUGGCGAAGGCGGCAUCCUGGACCGACACUGACACUGAGGAGCGAAAGCCAGGGGAGCAAA